rnacentral:rRNA from 1 species
GAACGACGCUGGCGGCAUGCCUAACACAUGCAAGUCGAACGAGACCUUCGGGUCUAGUGGCGCACGGGUGCGUAACGCGUGGGAACCUGCCUUUAGGUUCGGAAUAACUCAGAGAAAUUUGAGCUAAUACCGGAUAAUGUCUUCGGACCAAAGAUUUAUCGCCUUUAGAUGGGCCCGCGUAAGAUUUAGCUAGUUGGUGGGGUAAAGGCCUACCAAGGCGACGAUCUUUAGCUGGUCUGAGAGGAUGAUCAGCCACACUGGGACUGAGACACGGCCCAGACUCCUACGGGAGGCAGCAGUGGGGAAUAUUGGACAAUGGGCGAAAGCCUGAUCCAGCAAUGCCGCGUGAGUGAUGAAGGCCUUAGGGUUGUAAAGCUCUUUUACCCGAGAUGAUAAUGACAGUAUCGGGAGAAUAAGCUCCGGCUAACUCCGUG